CCUACGGGAGGCUGCAGUGAGGAAUAUUGGUCAAUGGACGAGAGUCUGAACCAGCCAAGUAGCGUGAAGGAUGACUGCCCUAUGGGUUGUAAACUUCUUUUAUAUGGGAAUAAAAUGUUCCACGUGUGGGAUUUUGUAUGUACCAUAUGAAUACGGAUCGGCUAACUCCGUGCCAGCAGCCGCGGUAAUACGGAGGAUCCGAGCGUUAUCCGGAUUUAUUGGGUUUAAAGGGAGCGUAGGUGGAUUGUUAAGUCAGUUGUGAAAGUUUGCGGCUCAACCGUAAAAUUGCAGUUGAAACUGGCAGUCUUGAGUACAGGAGAGGUGGGCGGAAUUCGUGGUGUAGCGGUGAAAUGCUUAGAUAUCACGAAGAACUCCGAUUGCGAAGGCAGUUCACUGGACUGCAACUGACACUGAGGCUCGAAAGUGUGGGUAUCAAACAGGAUUAGAUACCCCUGUAGUC
rnacentral:rRNA from 1 species